GGUUCUAUGGUGUAAGGGUUAGCUCUCUGGACUCUGAAUCCAGUGAUCCGAGUUCAAUUUCGGUAGGUCCU
rnacentral:tRNA from 1 species